rnacentral:rRNA from 1 species
GUUAAGCGACUAAGCGUACACGGUGGAUGCCCUGGCAGUCAGAGGCGAUGAAGGACGUGCUAAUCUGCGAUAAGCGUCGGUAAGGUGAUAUGAACCGUUAUAACCGGCGAUUUCCGAAUGGGGAAACCCAGUGUGUUUCGACACACUAUCAUUAACUGAAUCCAUAGGUUAAUGAGGCGAACCGGGGGAACUGAAACAUCUAAGUACCCCGAGGAAAAGAAAUCAACCGAGAUUCCCCCAGUAGCGGCGAGCGAACGGGGAGCAGCCCAGAGCCUGAAUCAGUGUGUGUGUUAGUGGAAGCGUCUGGAAAGGCGCGCGAUACAGGGUGACAGCCCCGUACACAAAAAUGCACAUGCUGUGAGCUCGAUGAGUAGGGCGGGACACGUGGUAUCCUGUCUGAAUAUGGGGGGACCAUCCUCCAAGGCUAAAUACUCCUGACUGACCGAUAGUGAACCAGUACCGUGAGGGAAAGGCGAAAAGAACCCCGGCGAGGGGAGUGAAAAAGAACCUGAAACCGUGUACGUACAAGCAGUGGGAGCACGCUUAGGCGUGUGACUGCGUACCUUUUGUAUAAUGGGUCAGCGACUUAUAUUCUGUAGCAAGGUUAACCGAAUAGGGGAGCCGAAGGGAAACCGAGUCUUAACUGGGCGUUAAGUUGCAGGGUAUAGACCCGAAACCCGGUGAUCUAGCCAUGGGCAGGUUGAAGGUUGGGUAACACUAACUGGAGGACCGAACCGACUAAUGUUGAAAAAUUAGCGGAUGACUUGUGGCUGGGGGUGAAAGGCCAAUCAAACCGGGAGAUAGCUGGUUCUCCCCGAAAGCUAUUUAGGUAGCGCCUCGUGAAUUCAUCUCCGGGGGUAGAGCACUGUUUCGGCAAGGGGGUCAUCCCGACUUACCAACCCGAUGCAAACUGCGAAUACCGGAGAAUGUUAUCACGGGAGACACACGGCGGGUGCUAACGUCCGUCGUGAAGAGGGAAACAACCCAGACCGCCAGCUAAGGUCCCAAAGUCAUGGUUAAGUGGGAAACGAUGUGGGAAGGCCCAGACAGCCAGGAUGUUGGCUUAGAAGCAGCCAUCAUUUAAAGAAAGCGUAAUAGCUCACUGGUCGAGUCGGCCUGCGCGGAAGAUGUAACGGGGCUAAACCAUGCACCGAAGCUGCGGCAGCGACGCUUAUGCGUUGUUGGGUAGGGGAGCGUUCUGUAAGCCUGUGAAGGUGUACUGUGAGGUAUGCUGGAGGUAUCAGAAGUGCGAAUGCUGACAUAAGUAACGAUAAAGCGGGUGAAAAGCCCGCUCGCCGGAAGACCAAGGGUUCCUGUCCAACGUUAAUCGGGGCAGGGUGAGUCGACCCCUAAGGCGAGGCCGAAAGGCGUAGUCGAUGGGAAACAGGUUAAUAUUCCUGUACUUGGUGUUACUGCGAAGGGGGGACGGAGAAGGCUAUGUUGGCCGGGCGACGGUUGUCCCGGUUUAAGCGUGUAGGCUGGUUUUCCAGGCAAAUCCGGAAAAUCAAGGCUGAGGCGUGAUGACGAGGCACUACGGUGCUGAAGCAACAAAUGCCCUGCUUCCAGGAAAAGCCUCUAAGCAUCAGGUAACAUCAAAUCGUACCCCAAACCGACACAGGUGGUCAGGUAGAGAAUACCAAGGCGCUUGAGAGAACUCGGGUGAAGGAACUAGGCAAAAUGGUGCCGUAACUUCGGGAGAAGGCACGCUGAUAUGUAGGUGAAGUCCCUUGCGGAUGGAGCUGAAAUCAGUCGAAGAUACCAGCUGGCUGCAACUGUUUAUUAAAAACACAGCACUGUGCAAACACGAAAGUGGACGUAUACGGUGUGACGCCUGCCCGGUGCCGGAAGGUUAAUUGAUGGGGUCAGCGCAAGCGAAGCUCUUGAUCGAAGCCCCGGUAAACGGCGGCCGUAACUAUAACGGUCCUAAGGUAGCGAAAUUCCUUGUCGGGUAAGUUCCGACCUGCACGAAUGGCGUAAUGAUGGCCAGGCUGUCUCCACCCGAGACUCAGUGAAAUUGAACUCGCUGUGAAGAUGCAGUGUACCCGCGGCAAGACGGAAAGACCCCGUGAACCUUUACUAUAGCUUGACACUGAACAUUGAGCCUUGAUG